rnacentral:rRNA from 1 species
UGGGGAAUAUUGCGCAAUGGGCGAAAGCCUGACGCAGCGACGCCGCGUGAGGGAUGAAGGCCUUCGGGUUGUAAACCUCUUUCAGCGCCGAAGAAGCGAAAGUGACGGUAGGCGCAGAAGAAGCACCGGCUAACUACGUGCCAGCAGCCGCGGUAAUACGUAGGGUGCAAGCGUUGUCCGGAAUUAUUGGGCGUAAAGAGCUCGUAGGCGGUCUGUCGCGUCUGCUGUGAAAACUCGGGGCUUAACCCCGGGCCUGCAGUGGGUACGGGCAGACUAGAGUGCGGUAGGGGAGACUGGAAUUCCUGGUGUAGCGGUGAAAUGCGCAGAUAUCAGGAGGAACACCGGUGGCGAAGGCGGGUCUCUGGGCCGUAACUGACGCUGAGGAGCGAAAGCGUGGGGAGCGAACA